CUUGUUGCUUACCUUGGAUCCCCUUCGUAACUCUUUUAUCUAGAGGUUGAGCCCGUAGCUCAUUAAUUAGCGAGAAUCUGUAUUUGUUGGGCUUAGCUGUGCAAGCUGUUAGGCCAUGUUCCGACCUUUAUCACAGAAAAAAUCUUUCCCACUCCCUUGUAUCGGAAUUGUUAGUCGUAUAUGGUUGGCUAAAUGGGAGGUGUCUGGACUCACGGCUAGUGUGACCUCACCACAUCACCUUAGGCAUGCCAUUGUGG
rnacentral:lncRNA from 1 species